rnacentral:rRNA from 1 species
UACGUAGGGUGCGAGCGUUAAUCGGAAUUAUUGGGCGUAAAGCGUGCGCAGGCGGUUCGUUGUGUCGGCGGUGAAAUCCCCGGGCUCAACCUGGGAAUGGCCGUUGAAACUGGCGAACUGGAGUGUGGCAGAGGGGGGUGGAAUUCCGCGUGUAGCAGUGAAAUGCGUAGAGAUGCGGAGGAACACCGAUGGCGAAGGCAGCCCCCUGGGCUGACACUGACGCUCAGGCACGAAAGCGUGGGGAGCAAACAGG